AAGUCGUAACAAGGUUUCCGUAGGUGAACCUGCGGAAGGAUCAUUACCACGUAUCCACGUACCCACCCAACCGUGCAUUUGUACCUCCUCAUUGUUCGUACUGAUUAUCGAGAAGAAGGAAAGAAGCUUUUGCUUUGGACUGACUUUUCUGAUUGGACAGUGAGCUAUCUACUAAUACAUACACUAUACUUCACUUUUUAAAAACAACCUAUCAAAGGUGAGAAAGGGAACUCGUUCCUUUUUUUCUUCUUUGUUUUGCAAGUUGGCUUACUCAUGUGAUGUCACUCUAACCAGUGUCAUUUCAUAUUUCUAUUGUAACCGAUAGAUUGUAAUGUACAACUCUUAGCAAUGGAUAUCUUGGCUCUC
rnacentral:misc_RNA from 1 species